AUACCAGGUGAUGUAAGCAU
rnacentral:rRNA from 1 species